rnacentral:rRNA from 1 species
CGACCUACGGGAGGCAGCAGUGGGGAAUAUUGCACAAUGGGGGAAACCCUGAUGCAGCGACGCCGCGUGAGCGAUGAAGUAUUUCGGUAUGUAAAGCUCUAUCAGCAGGGAAGAAAAUGACGGUACCUGACUAAGAAGCCCCGGCUAACUACGUGCCAGCAGCCGCGGUAAUACGUAGGGGGCAAGCGUUAUCCGGAUUUACUGGGUGUAAAGGGAGCGUAGACGGCCGUUCAAGCCAGAUGUGAAAGCCCGGGGCUCAACACCGGGACGGCAUUUGGAACUGGG